UUCCACUGGUUUAUUUGACUGGAAACACCUGUUGUUUUCUCUGCAGAGCUGUUGGGAAGAAAAGGUGUACAGCCGGAGCUUACUGAUUAGAACAUGUGGCUGGUGCAUGAACCUUGAAAUGAGGAGUAAAUGAAGACAGAAAUUACCGGAAAGGAGGUCAGGAAUUCUGGUGAGGAAAAAUUAAAGGCUGCUUUAAGGUUGAAGGCUCAGGCUGCAUAGGAGAAAAAAAAUCAGAGGCUCAUUGACUGCAAAGGUUAAUCAAGAUUCUGGGGGGACAUCUCCUGUGCAGCAACUGACAAGCAUUUCAUUAGGGAAGAAGUCUGAAGCUUCAAUGAGAUUCUGGAGAACAAACCCACCAGGAACCAGAUUGCUGGGAGGAGGAGAGAUCAGAGCUGGUUGGGGUGAAUGGACUUGAAUAUUGACAGAGCUCUGAGUCUCUUCCUGAAACGGAACCUACUUUACUCCCCCAAGAAAUCUUCCUGCUCGGUACCACACAGCACUUAGCAACAGCAUUACCUAUCAGUGUGAUUGUGGAUUCCUGCACUUAAUAACUUAAUACAUCAUUACUUUUCCCAUCAGAAAAUCCACACUAAAAAUCUUACUCCUGUGCAUAUGUUUUAUGUUCAUACGCAAAUUGUGAAUAAUAUAUUUUGGUUAUUAUUUUUGUUUCAGGUAUCACAUAUUUCCUCUGGCAAUAUUUUAUCAUUCC
rnacentral:lncRNA from 12 species